UACAGAGGGGGCAAGCGUUGUUCGGAAUUACUGGGCGUAAAGCGCGUGUAGGCGGUCUGACAAGUCAGGUGUGAAAGCCCUGGGCUCAACCCGGGAAGUGCACUUGAAACUGCCAGGCUAGAGUAUGGGAGAGGGAAGUGGAAUUUCCGGUGUAGCGGUGAAAUGCGUAGAUAUCGGAAGGAACAUCAGUGGCGAAGGCGACUUCCUGGACCAAUACUGACGCUCAGGUGCGAAAGCGUGGGGAGCAAACAGG
rnacentral:rRNA from 1 species